AUUCAUCUCGCAUACACCCAAAAUGAUUUUGUAUAGAUGAGCAUGAGAAAAAGAGUACUAAUCUGGGCGCCGGCAAACAGAUUAGCGGCAGCAUUUCGUUUCAGCAAUUCAAUGUAGAUUCAGAAUUGAUUACAGAAGCCAUACUCAGGCGGAAAAGGACAAAAACAAGAAAUGUUAUUUUGUAGAUGCGUGGAAGUUUCUUGACUUUUUGAGUGAUUGGGAAGUGACCUUUCAAUUAUGAGGGUUUGUUGGGGACGGUCAUGUUUGCGCCACAUGUUUUUAGAAAAAUAAAUUUUAAAAUAGUAAUUUUUUUUGGAUAAUGUAUGAUUAUAAAAUAGUGAAUGAUUUGCUAUAUAUGUGUAAAAUUGUUUAUGGAAGGAUGCAGGAUUGAAAAUGUGUUAUUUAUUAUUAUUAUUUUUUUAAAUGUAAGUUCUGAAAAAAAAAAAAAAAACGCUCAGGCGGAAAAGGGCAAAAACAAGAAAUGUUAUUUUGUAGAUGCGUGGAAGUUUCUUGACUUUUUGAGUGAUUGGGAAGUGACCUUUCAAUUAUGAGGGUUUGUUGGGGAAGGUCAUGUUUGCGCCACAUGUUUUUAGAAAAAUAAAUUUUAAAAUAGUAAUUUUUUUUGGAUAAUGUAUGAUUAUAAAAUAGUGAAUGAUUUGCUAUAUAUGUGUAAAAUUAUUUAUGGAAGG
rnacentral:lncRNA from 1 species